GGCCUCGAAUCGGGCGGAUACCA
rnacentral:rRNA from 1 species